GUUGAAACACCGGUUCUCUUGCAAUCACAGAAGUUAAGCAACGUCGAGUCUGGUUCGUACUUAGAUGAGUGACUAAUUAGGAAUACCGGGUGCU